AAAAAUAAUGAUGUGCUAAGGGAAGUGAACUAUGCUCAGAUUGCAUUGCAAAGUAAAGGUUUAUCACUUCGUCUAUUCAUUGGAGAGAAACGGUUGCAUCUAGCAGGAGAGGCAAUAGAUUUUGCUGUACAAAAAUCGGAAGAAUACAACAUUUCGAUGGAACGACGAAUUCGUCGCAAGAAACGCAUGCCCGGUGAGUUAGCCACCGAUACUGGACUUACACUUAGAGCGGAACUUCAAAAGGACAUGUUAGAAUGUAUUGACAGAUUCAAUAUUGAACUCAAAACACGAGUAAAGUCCAUUAAAGACGUAGCUUCAUUGUUUGAAGUUGUGCAGUCAAAGACCUUGCUUUUGGCAAACACUGAACAGUUAAAAUUUGCUAUAUCAAAAUUUACUAACCUUUACGAUGAAGUAUCAGAAACAGAACUACUUUUAGAAAUACCAAGAUUGAGAAGACAUUUAAAAGCGGCUAAUAUCACUGUCUCUAAUUGGGUGACGCUGGACUAUUUGAAAUUCAUUGUGGAAUGGGACUUUACAGCUUCUCUUCCGAAUCUAACGGUCGCAUUAAAGUUAUUUAUGACAAUAUGUGCAUCAGUCCUUUAUGUGAGAGAAGUUUCAGCAAAUUAAAUUUAAUUAAAAAUUACUUGCGGUCUACAAUGACUGAAACCAGAUUAAACAAUCUUGGUAUUUUAACGAUAGAACAUGAAGCAACACAAAAUAUAAAUUUUGAAGACGUGAUUUCGGAGUUUGCAAGUGUCAAAGCUAGAAGGAAGAAAUUUUAAUUUUUUCACAUAAUAUACUAAUAUAAUAUUUGUAAUACUCGUGUUUUAAUAAAAUGUAAAUGAUUAUUUUUUUA